rnacentral:rRNA from 1 species
GAUGAACGCUGGCGGCGUGCCUAAUACAUGCAAGUCGAGCGAACGGACGAGAAGCUUGCUUCUCUGAUGUUAGCGGCGGACGGGUGAGUAACACGUGGAUAACCUACCUAUAAGACUGGGAUAACUUCGGGAAACCGUAUCUAAUACCGGAUAAUAUUUUGAACCGCAUGGUUCAACAGUGAAAGACGGUCUUGCUGUCACUUAUAGAUGGAUCCGCGCUGCAUUAGCUAGUUGGUAAGGUAACGGCUUACCAAGGCAACGAUGCAUAGCCGACCUGAGGGGGUGAUCAGCCACACUGGAACUGAGACACGGUCCAGACUCCUACGGGAGGCAGCAGUAGGGAAUAUUCCGCAAUGGGCGAAAGCCUGACGGAGCAACGCCGCGUGAGUGAUGAAGGUCUUCGGAUCGUAAAACUCUGUUAGUAGGGAAGAACAUAUGUGUAAGUAACUGUGCACAUCUUGACGGUACCUAAUCAGAAAGCCACGGCUAACUACGUG